CUGCAUCUAAUUCAUAAAAGUAUUACCUCAUAUCUGUGAUUUUAAUAGCCUUAAUAACUUAGUCUGAAGCUUUGCCUGUGAGAUUCAUGAUUAGUGAAGGUAUAACUCCUGUGCUCUAUAGUAUCCCUUCCUACUCUAAACCAGCAGACAUCCAAUGGGAAGACUGAAAACAUCAGGCAGCCAGUAGUUUCCUGUGCAAUUUCUGUGCAAAGAAGCUCAGACUAAGCAAAGUUAAAGCUGAUUGUUGAGCUGAGUGGAGAACACCACCAGGGAGAGGUAAGGCACUGUUGUCAAAUCCUGGUUCUUCUCAUAGCUUGGUUAUGGAAGACUGAGUUUGCUUCCUUGUUCAGAAUCUUAGAAGGAGUGAGAGAUUUUGGUUAUUUACAUUUUGUUUCAGUUGUGUCUGUCUCUUGAACCUGGAAAAUAAGAUCUAGCUUCUCUAUUUUGCAAGCAGAAGCAGUUUGGGGUUCAAGUAUUCUCUUGAAGUAAAAGAAGAUGACAUUUUCUCCUUCCAGCAAUAAAUGUGGAAGAGCUCUGCUAAUGUGCAUGUUUACCACACAUCCAGAUGACAUAAAUCUCAUUUGAUGAGCUGUUGGCAAACCAGAGCUAUGGUAGAAACAUCCUCCCACCUUUGCAGUGGAAAGGUGCUGUGGAUGUCACAAUUUCUAGCGGCUCUUCUGGGCACCAAUCUGAUAAAGGCAUCAUCACAGAAUAUUCUGAAUUGGAAAGGAUGAGGAUAAUUGAACACAACUUUUACAGGAAAGGCCCAUACAGGGAUCAAACCCACAACCCUGGCAUUAUUAGUACCAUGUUCUAAUCAACUGAGCUAAUCACACGGGUAUCAUGAAAAAGAUACCAGAAGCAGAAGGGGACAAGACUUUGGUUCUGUUUCUAGUCAGAACUCUUUUGAACCUUUCAAAACAAAUGACUUAAAGAAAAGGCAAGAAAAAGAAUCAUUAGGAGAGAAAUAAAACCAUCUCCUCUCUGGCUUUAGAUCUCUCACUCAUAAUCAUAAAUACAAAUAAUAUCUAAAUUCAACUUUGUCUUUAACUUUGGAUAUCAGGAGCAAUUUUGAUUUAUUUUAGAAGGGGCAAGAAGAGAGAAAAUGGCAAAAGGGGUUUGUAUUUUGCAUUCUCUCUUGAUUUGGUCUGACAGAUUCUUGCUGUCUUUGAAAGUAGCCAGUUUCUAAAAGAGAACUGCUAACUGCUGUUAAUCCCAGAACUGGAAAGAUUUCCUGCAACAGCCAAGUCUCAUUCAAGCCCAGAAAACAGGCUGUGAACUCAAUGGCUUUCAACUCUUCCUAAAAGUUGCCUGCCUUGGGCUGAAGAGAUCUCAGUGAACCCAGUUUCUCACAUGAACAGAAAAGGAAUUCUCAUUUCUCUAUUUAAGUUGUUAUACUAGCCCAGUCUCUGAGAUAUGAGUCAGAAAUGUCUUCUGAAAGAAACCAUCAUGUCUAAAGGCCAUCAGCAGCACAAAAUAUCAAAGGAACAUUGAGGAAAUGUUUGGACACUUCCCUGGAUUUCAUUGAAAAAUUCCAGAUACUUCUGAACCCGAGAGCCAGCCAUGAACCACAAUGCAGUCACCAAUUGAUCUGUCAUAUUGUGGUUUUCAAAGAUGAACUGAGAAUGCUCUGAAAGGAAUUUGCAGCUGAAGAGCUGCAGGAAGACCUAGGGUAGGGAAUUACAUUUUCAUUGUGGCUAACUUUCAAUGACACUGAAGAUGUCUCACUUGGAAGAUCAUCAAACCCAUGUUUUCUCUUCCACUUCAACAGACAACGCUUCGUUCAGUUGAUGCAGAAACUCUGAA